ensembl:lncRNA
AUCUUUGGUGUCGCCGAGAGCUCAGAAAGAGAUGAAGGCGGUGCUUUGGAAGGCAGAGAAGCACCUGAACUUUGUGGUCGGCUUUCUGUUGUCAGGUAAUUUUGUAAUUAAAGGAAGACUCCACAAAUUUUCCACAUUAAAUACUCAACACUGAUUAACAGUGGAAAAGUGCCAAAGCCUCCACUGGCUCUUUAGAAACCACUUUGUUCACUGUGACAGUUUUGCUAAAGUGACUUUGGGGGAAUCAGCAGGGGGAACAAAAGCCAUUAAGUUUAAAUCAUAUGAGUACACAUUUUGUUUUUAUUAUGCAAAAUUUGGGGUGAAUCUGCUGCAGCACUUCUGACUAAGAGGACUUUAAAACUCACUGAGGUGCUGCAGUGCUUUGGCAUCAAUAGUUAAAAGGCUGAUGUUUUUGGAGACCACAAGAUGUCACUGUGGCCCCAAAACAUCUUGGUCUUCAACCACCCAUCUACUUAAACAUUUCUGAUGGGUUUGCAGCUCUAAAUGGAGUCUCAAAUUGGAUGUAGAGACUUAAAACGUAAUGUAUCACAAUCUAGGGACAGGGGUUGACAAAAUGUGACCGUUUACCAUGCAGAGAAAGUCAAUUCAAAUGAAUGUUGCUAUCAUGAAAACUCUGGGGUGCAUGUUUUUGUGUCAUGAUUGGACUUAAAGUGAGAUUUUUUUUGUUUUGUUUUUUUGUUUCUAAUCUAUCACAUUUACAGACGUACUGAACACAGAAAUCUCUGAACUGUGUCACUAAAUUGCUGUAUUUCCUACAGAGCCUCAAAUGUAUGAACCAGCUGUUGACUUCCAGCCUCUGUGGGAAGCCUUAAAAGUUAUCAAACUAGAGAAAGAAAGUUUCAUAAGCGCUGCUGACAAACUGCAGUCCGAGAUGGAGACGGAAGUCCCGCAGUUAUCUUUGUGCUGCUGCUGCGACUUCACAGAGAAUAUGAAGUCUGAUCUUCCCUCCAUCAGAGAGGAAACUGGAGAAGACUUAAGUAAACUGCCACCUGAACAUGUGGAGGUCGACUCCUUUCUAUUGAGCACCACAGCUGAAACUCUUCUCCAAAAGAAACCCACUGAUGAUUCAUCUCUGAAUGCCUCCCAGAUGCCUGCGUUCAACACAGUGAAUAAAGAUGUCAAACCAGCUCCUGUCACCACCAAAUAUGAUAUUGGUGGCAAGAAGUUUUCAGAAGUUGCAAGCUGGUCUUCAGCUCAUGAAAAAGGCAUCAGCAGACAAGGACAUGACUGUCAGAUGGAGCUGAGUGCAAAGAUUUCUGAGGAGGCUGUCGCCUCCACACUGAAUACUAGAGAUGAUGACAGAGGUUUGCUGUUGGCAAGAAAUCCACCAGAGCUGGACCUUGACCCCCUGGCCACCUUCAUGAUGCUUAGGUCUCAGCAGAUCGCUCCUGUUUCUGCAUCACCUCAGAGCUCAGGCAGCACUGCAGGUACACUAUGCUUACUAUCUGUUCUUGCAUAGUCUGAAGGUGAUUUAUGCUUUUGCAGCUUUAUUUUCAAACAUUGUUCUCUGAACUUAAGACCAGAAUGUUUGUAUCUAUUAUGUGAAAAAUG